rnacentral:rRNA from 1 species
AGAAUCAACGCUGGCGGCGUGCCUAACACAUGCAAGUCGAACGAGAAAGUGGGAGCAAUCCCACGAGUAAAGUGGCGCACGGGUGAGUAACACGUGACUAACCUACCCUUGAGUGGGGGAUAACCUAGGGAAAACCUGGGCUAAUACCGCAUAAUACCUUCGGGUCAAAGGAGCAAUUCGCUUAAGGAGGGGUCGCGGCCGAUUAGUUAGUUGGCGGGGUAAUGGCCCACCAAGACGAUGAUCGGUAUCCGG